AAUGAACGUUGGCGGCGUGGAUUAGGCAUGCAAGUCGAGCGAGAACCGUAGCAAUACGGGGACAGCGGCGAAAGGGACAGUAAUGUGUAGGUACCUACCCCUGGAUCUGGGAUAGCUGCGGGAAACUGCAGGUAAUACCGGAUAAUGUCUCCGGACCAAAGGUGUGAUUCCGUCUGGGGAGGGGCCUGCAUCCUAUUAGCUAGUUGGCGGGGUAACGGCCCACCAAGGCGACGAUGGGUAGCGGGUGUGAGUGCACGACCCGCGUCAUUGGGACUGAGUCACUGCCCAGACACCUACGGGUGGCUGCAGUCGAGGAUCUUCGGCAAUGGGCGAAAGCCUGACCGAGCGACGCCGCGUGCGGGAUGAAGGCCUUCGGGUUGUAAACCGCUGUCGUAGAGGAGGAAAUGCAGGGGGGUUCUCCCCUUUGUUUGACCUAUUCUAGGAGGAAGUACGGGCUAAGUUCGUGCCAGCCGCCGCGGUAA
rnacentral:rRNA from 1 species